UAGUCUGUCUAACUAAGCAAAACGAAUUUUAGUUUUACCCCCCGAAACUAGGUGAGCUACUUCGAAAUAGUUAUAAGAACUAACCCGUCUCUGUUGCAAAAGAGUGGGAAAAUUUCCAAGUAGAGGCGAUAAACCUACCGCACCAAGAGAUAGCUGGUUACUCAAGAAAAGAAUAUAAGUUCUUCCUCAAGUUUUUUAGUCCCCAUAAACCCCAAUUAAACUUUAGAGUUAUUCAAAUAGGGCACAGCUUAUUUGAAAAAGGAUACAACCUACCAUAUCGGGUAAUUAAUCAAGAAAAACUGUCAAGUGGGCCUAAAAGCAGCCACCUUUCAAAAAGCGUUAAAGCUUUACUUUUAUUCUUUAAAAAUAACCUUAUUAUUACUCAACCCAUUACUAAUAUUGAGUGACUCCAUAAGAAUAUGGAAGAAAUAAUGCUAGAACUAGUAACAAGAAGUAGAACUUCUCCAAAAUGUAAGCCUAAGCCACUUUAGACACCCUAUUGGCAAUUAACGCUUAUGAAUCCACUUUAAUAACUUCCCCAAGAGAACUUUAAACAUCUCAACGUUAAACUUACACUAGAACAUUUUUGGAAAGAUAAAAAGAAAAAGAAGGAACUCGGCAAAUAUAAACCCCGCCUGUUUACCAAAAACAUCGCCUCUUGUCUAAAUAUAAGAGGUCCAGCCUGCCCAGUGAUAAAAUUUAACGGCCGCGGUACCCUAACCGUGCAAAGGUAGCAUAAUCACUUGUUCUUUAAAUGAGGACUAGUAUCAACGGCAUCACGAGGGUUAAACUGUCUCCUUUUUCAUAUCAGUGAAACUAAUCUCCCCGUGAAGAAGCGGGGAUAAUUUUAUAAGACGAGAAGACCCCAUGGAGCUUUAAACCCAACUACACCCCUCUUAGCUUUACUUUUUAACCUUUAGGGCACUGUAUGUUAUGGUUUUAGGUUGGGGUGACCACGGAGCAUAAAAUAGCCUCCACAAUGAAUAGACCUCCUCUUUAUCCAAGACUGACACUUCUAAGAAUUAGUAUUCUAACAUAAAAUGAUCCGAUAUUCGAUCAACGAACCAAGUUACCCUGGGGAUAACAGCGCAAUCCACUUCAAGAGCUCCUAUCGACAAGCGGGUUUACGACCUCGAUGUGGAUCAGGGUAUCCUAGUGGUGCAGCAGCUACUAAAGGUUCGUUUGUUCAACGAUUAAAACCC
rnacentral:rRNA from 1 species